UGUGUAGGUGGUUUAGUUAGUCUUCCGUUAAAGACUCGGGCUCAACCCGAGGAGUGCGGAGGAAACGGCUAGACUAGAGAAUGAGAGAGGUGAACGGAACUCAUAGUGUAGGAGUGAAAUCCGUUGAUAUUAUGGGGAACACCAAAGGCGAAGGCAGUUCACUGGCUCAUUUCUGACACUGAGACACGAAAGCGUGGGUAGCGAACAGGAUUAGAUACCCUGGUAGUCC
rnacentral:rRNA from 1 species